rnacentral:lncRNA from 1 species
AGACGCUGGCACUAUGGUCAUGGCGGAGGGGACGGCAGUGCUGAGGCGGAACAGGCCGGGCACCAAGGCGCAGGCAGUUCUGCCUUGAGCUAAAUGGACUUGCUGUCAAACUUCAGAGUGAAUGCCAUCCAGAUACUUGCACUCAAAUGACAGCAACUGAACAAUGGAUUUUUCUUUGUGCAGCUCAUAAAACUCCAAAAGAGGGUUAGCAUAAAGGAAUCAUCUGUAGCGAAACUAGGAUCAGUAUGCCGUAGGAUUUACAGAAUAUUUUCACAUGCUUAUUUUCAUCAUCGGCAGAUAUUUGAUGAAUAUGAAAAUGAAACAUUUUUGUGUCAUCGGUUUACUAAGUUUGUGAUGAAAUACAAUUUGAUGUCCAAGGAUAACCUGAUUGUACCAAUUUUAGAAGAGGAAGUACAGAAUUCAGUUUCUGGGGAAAGUGAAGCAUGAAGGGAAUCAUAGGAAAAAUGUACUGAUCAUAUAAUUAACAUUAUGUACUGUAUAUAUCAUUUUAGACACAUCAAUCAUGUAUCCAUAUUAUAGCUUCUUUGUUUAGUAUAGGUUUUUG